GACAGAGGCCUCAAGCGUUAGGCGGAAUCACUGGGCUUAAAGCGUGUGUAGGCGGCUGGGCAAGUCUGGUGUGAAAUCUUCACCGCUCAACGGGAAGAGGUCACUGGAAACUGCUCAGCUCGAGUGUGGUAGAGGCAAGCGGAAUUCCUGGUGUAGCGGUGGAAUGUGUAGAUAUCAGGAAGAACACCGGUGGCGAAGGCGGCUUGCUGGGCCACUACUGACGCUGAGACGCGAAAGCGUGGGGAGCAAACGGG
rnacentral:rRNA from 1 species